rnacentral:rRNA from 1 species
UACGUAGGGGGCAAGCGUUGUCCGGAAUCAUUGGGCGUAAAGAGCGUGUAGGCGGUUCGGUAAGUCGGCUGUGAAAGUCCAGGGCUCAACCCUGGGAUGCCGGUCGAUACUGCCGGACUAGAGUUCGGAAGAGGCGAGUGGAAUUCCCGGUGUAGCGGUGAAAUGCGCAGAUAUCAGGAAGAACACCAACGGCGAAGGCAGCUCGCUGGGACGGAACUGACGCUGAGGCGCGAAAGCGUGGGGAGCGAACAGG